CAUAGGUUAAUGAGGCGAACCGGGGGAACUGAAACAUCUAAGUACCCCGAGGAAAAGAAAUCAACCGAGAUUCCCCCAGUAGCGGCGAGCGAACGGGGAGCAGCCCAGAGCCUGAAUCAGUGUGUGUGUUAGUGGAAGCGUCUGGAAAGGCGUGCGAUACAGGGUGACAGCCCCGUACACAAAAAUGCACAUGCUGUGAGCUCGAUGAGUAGGGCGGGACACGUGGUAUCCUGUCUGAAUAUGGGGGGACCAUCCUCCAAGGCUAAAUACUCCUGACUGACCGAUAGUGAACCAGUACCGUGAGGGAAAGGCGAAAAGAACCCCGGCGAGGGGAGUGAAAAAGAACCUGAAACCGUGUACGUACAAGCAGUGGGAGCACGCUUAGGCGUGUGACUGCGUACCUUUUGUAUAAUGGGUCAGCGACUUAUAUUCUGUAGCAAGGUUAACCGAAUAGGGGAGCCGAAGGGAAACCGAGUCUUAACUGGGCGUUAAGUUGCAGGGUAUAGACCCGAAACCCGGUGAUCUAGCCAUGGGCAGGUUGAAGGUUGGGUAACACUAACUGGAGGACCGAACCGACUAAUGUUGAAAAAUUAGCGGAUGACUUGUGGCUGGGGGUGAAAGGCCAAUCAAACCGGGAGAUAGCUGGUUCUCCCCGAAAGCUAUUUAGGUAGCGCCUCGUGAAUUCAUCUCCGGGGGUAGAGCACUGUUUCGGCAAGGGGGUCAUCCCGACUUACCAACCCGAUGCAAACUGCGAAUACCGGAGAAUGUUAUCACGGGAGACACACGGCGGGUGCUAACGUCCGUCGUGAAGAGGGAAACAACCCAGACCGCCAGCUAAGGUCCCAAAGUCAUGGUUAAGUGGGAAACGAUGUGGGAAGGCCCAGACAGCCAGGAUGUUGGCUUAGAAGCAGCCAUCAUUUAAAGAAAGCGUAAUAGCUCACUGGUCGAGUCGGCCUGCGCGGAAGAUGUAACGGGGCUAAACCAUGCACCGAAGCUGCGGCAGCGACACUAUGUGUUGUUGGGUAGGGGAGCGUUCUGUAAGCCUGUGAAGGUGUACUGUGAGGUAUGCUGGAGGUAUCAGAAGUGCGAAUGCUGACAUAAGUAACGAUAAAGCGGGUGAAAAGCCCGCUCGCCGGAAGACCAAGGGUUCCUGUCCAACGUUAAUCGGGGCAGGGUGAGUCGACCCCUAAGGCGAGGCCGAAAGGCGUAGUCGAUGGGAAACAGGUUAAUAUUCCUGUACUUGGUGUUACUGCGAAGGGGGGACGGAGAAGGCUAUGUUGGCCGGGCGACGGUUGUCCCGGUUUAAGCGUGUAGGCUGGUUUUCCAGGCAAAUCCGGAAAAUCAAGGCUGAGGCGUGAUGACGAGGCACUACGGUGCUGAAGCAACAAAUGCCCUGCUUCCAGGAAAAGCCUCUAAGCAUCAGGUAACAUCAAAUCGUACCCCAAACCGACACAGGUGGUCAGGUAGAGAAUACCAAGGCGCUUGAGAGAACUCGGGUGAAGGAACUAGGCAAAAUGGUGCCGUAACUUCGGGAGAAGGCACGCUGAUAUGUAGGUGAAGUCCCUCGCGGAUGGAGCUGAAAUCAGUCGAAGAUACCAGCUGGCUGCAACUGUUUAUUAAAAACACAGCACUGUGCAAACACGAAAGUGGACGUAUACGGUGUGACGCCUGCCCGGUGCCGGAAGGUUAAUUGAUGGGGUUAGCGCAAGCGAAGCUCUUGAUCGAAGCCCCGGUAAACGGCGGCCGUAACUAUAACGGUCCUAAGGUAGCGAAAUUCCUUGUCGGGUAAGUUCCGACCUGCACGAAUGGCGUAAUGAUGGCCAGGCUGUCUCCACCCGAGACUCAGUGAAAUUGAACUCGCUGUGAAGAUGCAGUGUACCCGCGGCAAGACGGAAAGACCCCGUGAACCUUUACUAUAGCUUGACACUGAACAUUGAGCCUUGAUGUGUAGGAUAGGUGGGAGGCUUUGAAGUGUGGACGCCAGUCUGCAUGGAGCCGACCUUGAAAUACCACCCUUUAAUGUUU
rnacentral:rRNA from 1 species